GAUGAACGCUGGCGGCGUGCCUAAUACAUGCAAGUCGAGCGAAUGGAUUAAGAGCUUGCUCUUAUGAAGUUAGCGGCGGGCGGGUGAGUAACACGUGGGUAACCUGCCCAUAAGACUGGGAUAACUCCGGGAAAACGGGGCUAAUACCGGAUAACAUUUUGAACCGCAUGGUUCGAAAUUGAAAGGCGGCUUCGGCUGUCACUUAUGGAUGGACCAGCGUCGCAUUAGCUAGUUGGUGAGGUAACGGCUCACCAAGGCAACGAUGCGUAGCCGACCUGAGAGGGUGAUCGGCCACACUGGGACUGAGACACGGCCCAGACUCCUACGGGAGGCAGCAGUAGGGAAUCUUCCGCAAUGGACGAAAGUCUGACGGAGCAACGCCGCGUGAGUGAUGAAGGCUUUCGGGUCGUAAAACUCUGUUGUUAGGGAAGAACAAGUGCUAGUUGAAUAAGCUGGCACCUUGACGGUACCUAACCAGAAAGCCACGGCUAACUACGUGCCAGCCGCCGCCGUAA
rnacentral:rRNA from 1 species